rnacentral:lncRNA from 1 species
AGGCCAGGCACUACUCUGUCCCAACAAUAAGCCCUGUACAUUGGGAAAGGUGCCGAGACAUGAACUUUGGUCUUCUCUGCAAUCCAUCUGGAGCAUUCACUGACAACAUCGACUUUGAAGUUGCACUGACCUGGCCAGCCCUGCCACUUACCAGGUUGGGCUGUGGCUUGCCUUUUCACUUCUUGUGUCCUGUUUAAGAAAUAUCUGCUAUCCCAAGCAUCUGGCAUCUUUCUUGACAUAUGUAGCAGUUGCUUUUUGACAGCUUGCUUCUUCAGUGAAUGAAUAAAUUAAUAAAGAGAAAUGUGAUGUUCAGUGAUCCAUUUUGCAGAUUGCAAACUCCUAGAGAAGGGCUCAACAGUGAGUGCUGAGGCUGCACAGAGGAGGAAGGCAGCACAAUGAUGGAAGGCUUCCUAAAGAGAUAACACUAACAAAGUUGACCUUAGAAUUGGAGUGCCUGGGUUAGAACCCUGCUGGUACCACCUGCUUACUGCAUGCUUCUGAUGUGAGUUCAGGAGAAGACACUGGCAAGGACAGCAAAGAACAGGAGAACACUCUAGCUUCCCUGAUAGCAUUCAAGGUGCUGUCCAAACUGACUGUGAUGGCACCCUCCAGACAGACAGCGAUGCCACAUGUUCAAGAUGGCAGAAUCACUAUCAGCUUCAAUUCCUGAAUGACUGCAGAGCAAAAUUUCUUACCUGCAACAUACACUCUAUUUUCAGCCUCCCUGGACUGUUACAUAAUGAUACAUAAAAAUAUUUCUUGUGUUGAGGCAUCCCAAAUUUGAUUUAUUUGUCAUCACAGUCUAUCCUAUGAAUAUAUUUCUGAUCCAAAUAAUGCUAGAUUCAUGAGAGUUUAUAGUCCAGAGAUUUUUUUUUUUUUUUUGAGACAGAAUCUGUCUCCCAGGCUGGGGUGCAGUGGCAUAAUCUUAGCUCACUGCAACCUCUGCCUCCCGGGCUCAAGUGAUCCUCCCUCCUUAGCCUCCAUGAGUAGCUGGGACCACAGGUGUGCACCACCACACCCCGCUAAUUAUUUUGUAUUUUUUGCAGAGGGGGGUUUCACCACAUUGCCCAAGCUGGUCUCAAACUCCUAGACUUAAGGGAUCUGCCUGCCUUGGCCUCCCAAAAUGCUGAAAUUACACUUGUUAGCCAUAGUAAUAGUUCCUAGCCAUAGUCCGGAGAUAUUUUAAAAACUUUAGUGUGAGUUAUUUCUCUUUGCUAUAAUUCUCUCAUGCAUUUUGAAAACCUUUUCUGCCAUACAGUGGUUUUUGGGAAGUCCUUUUGGACAGACAUAUCACAGGAUGGAGAAACUAAAAA